GAGAAAAGGGCAAGCCACGAAAUCCUGGGGGAGAAUUAAGGUCCUUGUGGCACUUCAGAUUGUGUUAGCUUGACUUUCUCACAAGAUUGAAUUUAGCUGCCAAAAGUGAAUCUACUUUCUUUUUUUUUUCUUUUUUUUCAAAAUUGUAUUAAAUUUAUUUCAACAGGCUGUCUGAGUUAUUCCGUUUUGUUACAAGCUGAUGAAAAUCCAUCAUCAGCCAAUGACAGACCCUCGCCUUUCCCUCAUUCCAAUUUAAGGUCUGAGCACAAGCAGUUGCAGCAUUCAUGUCAAAAGCCAGGCGCGUCGCAGCAAGUCUCCCUCUACCGAGAUUAAAACCUGUUCUCUGUCUCUACAGCCCGGAGUUAACCACCAGGGAACUUGUUCUCCUGUCGCCUUUCCCAGGGAAGAACCAUUCAUUCCAUCAGAGAGUGGAAAGAAACACUCUAGGGAUAUCACUGAGUCCUCGUGGAGUAUCAGCACUUGUCCACCUGACAAUCUAAAUCGGAUGCAGUUUCCCAAAGACUGGAAACUUCAUGAGAAGACGGAGUGUCAAUGGGAAGAACUGAAUCAAUGAACUAUACAAUAAUGAUGGAAUUCACCAUAUGAUCCUGCCCAGAAUGCUUGAGUUCAGUUACAAAGAAAAGGUUUCCAAGACAACAGUUUCAAGUUUAAAUCACAUACUUUGAGCUGGGAAAAGUUACAGAAGAAGAGAGCUUUUCUUCCACCUUAAAGUCAUUGGGAUUGUGGUCACUUGCUUUGACCUCUGGAUUAACUCCAGGGAGGCCACAGUGCCACUUACCACCAGGAAAGGUGUACCCUGUGGAAUCCUCAAAAUUUAGGGAGAUUGAACACAUGAUUCAGAAAUUUCUGUGUGUGUACAAAGCUGCCACAGACCCAACUCCAUGGAAGCAGUUCUCCAAGAGAAAGAACCUUUGUGAGUUGGGCAUAUGAGAUUCUCUAUUGCAGCACUCCAAACAUCACUUGGGGAUGUUAUGUCAUAUUGUAAGUAAGAAGCCUUGCAUUACCACUUAGAAUCCACAUGAAAGUCAAGCACAGGCUCAGCUAUGUUCGGUCCAUAUUAAUUUUUGCAUCACUUUCCAUAGGUACACAAAGUAUCUAAACUACCCUACUAAAUUAAUUACCUGCGAUGCAAGAUUGUCUUGUUAAACCUGUUCAGUCUUUUGUUUUUCUUUCUGUCUCAACCAAUUACUGUGCUGCAGUUAUUAUUUUUUACAUAUUAAGAAAAUGAUUACUUGAGAG